GACGAACGCUGGCGGCGUGCUUAAAACAUGCAAGUCGAACGAAGUGGCGAACGGGUGAGUAAAGCGUAAUAAACCUGCCCUUCAGAGGGGGACAACAGUUGGAAACGACUGCUAAUACCGCAUACUGAAGGCGGGGAUGGCGACGGAUUAGGUAGUUGGAGGGGUAACGGACCAACAAGGCGAGGAUCAGUAGCCGGUCUGGAGGGAUGAACGGCCACAUUGGGACUGAGACACGGCCCAGACUCCUACGGGAGGCAGCAGUGGGGAAUCUUCCGCAAUGGACGAAAGUCUGACGGAGCAACGCCGCGUGAGUGAUGACGGCCUUCGGGUUGUAAAGCUCUGUUAAUCGGGACGCGGUACCGGAAUAGAAAGCCACGGCUAACUACGUGCCAGCCGCCGCGGUAAUUC
rnacentral:rRNA from 1 species